CACGUAGGGUGCGAGCGUUGUCCGGAAUUAUUGGGCGUAAAGAGCUCGUAGGCGGUGUGUCGCGUCGGCCGUGAAAACCUGCAGCUUAACUGUGGGCUUGCGGUCGAUACGGGCAUCACUGGAGUUCGGCAGGGGAGACUGGAAUUCCUGGUGUAGCGGUGAAAUGCGCAGAUAUCAGGAGGAACACCGGUGGCGAAGGCGGGUCUCUGGGCCGAUACUGACGCUGAUGCACGAAAGCUAGGGGAGCAAACAGG
rnacentral:rRNA from 1 species